rnacentral:rRNA from 1 species
GAUGAACGCUGGCGGCGUGCCUAAUACAUGCAAGUCGAGCGAACAGACGAGGAGCUUGCUCCUCUGACGUUAGCGGCAGACGGGUGAGUAACACGUGGAUAACCUACCUAUAAGACUGGGAUAACUUCGGGAAACCGGAGCUAAUACCGGAUAAUAUAUUGAACCGCAUGGUUCAAUAGUGAAAGACGGUUUUGCUGUCACUUAUAGAUGGAUCCGCGCCGCAUUAGCUAGUUGGUAAGGUAACGGCUUACCAAGGCAACGAUGCGUAGCCGACCUGAGAGGGUGAUCAGCCACACUGGAACUGAGACACGGUCCAGACUCCUACGGGAGGCAGCAGUAGGGAAUCUUCCGCAAUGGGCGAAAGCCUGACGGAGCAACGCCGCGUGAGUGAUGAAGGUCUUCGGAUCGUAAAACUCUGUUAUUAGGGAAGAACAAAUGUGUAAGUAACUAUGCACGUCUUGACGGUACCUAAUCAGAAAGCCACGGCUAACUACGUG